rnacentral:rRNA from 1 species
GAUGAACGCUGGCGGCGUGCCUAAUACAUGCAAGUCGAGCGAACAGACGAGGAGCUUGCUCCUCUGACGUUAGCGGCGGACGGGUGAGUAACACGUGGAUAACCUACCUAUAAGACUGGGAUAACUUCGGGAAACCGGAGCUAAUACCGGAUAAUAUAUUGAACCGCAUGGUUCAAUAGUGAAAGACGGUUUUGCUGUCACUUAUAGAUUGAUCCGCGCCGCAUUAGCCAGUUGGUAAGGUAACGGCUUACCAAGGCAACGAUGCGUAGCCGACCUGAGAGGGUGAUCGGACACCCGGGAACUGAGAAAGGGUCCAGACUCCUACGGGAGGCAGCAGUAGGGAAUCUUCCGCAAUGGGCGAAAGCCUGACGGAGCAACGCCGCGUGAGUGAUGAAGGUCUUCGGCUCGUAAAACUCUGUUAUUAGGGAAGAACAAAUGUGUAAGUAACUAUGCACGUAUUGACGGUACCUAAUCAGAAAGCCACGGCUAACUCCGUG